UUUUAAUUGUGGAAGCUCUUG
rnacentral:miRNA from 1 species